rnacentral:rRNA from 1 species
UACGGAGGGGGGCUAGCGUUGUUCGGAAUUACUGGGCGUAAAGCGCGCGUAGGCGGCUUAGCAAGUUAGAGGUGAAAGCCCCGGAGCUCAACUCCGGAAUUGCCUUUAAAACUGCAAAGCUAGAAUCAUGGAGAGGUGAGUGGAAUUCCGAGUGUAGAGGUGAAAUUCGUAGAUAUUGGGAAGAACACCGGUGGCGAAGGCGGCGCUCUGGACCGAGACUGACGCUGAGGCGCGAAGGCGUGGGGAGCAAACAGG